AAUUUUGGACAAUGGGGGAAACCCUGAUGCAGCAACGCCGCGUGAAGGAUGAAGGUUUUCGGAUCGUAAACUUCUAUCAGUAGGGACGAAAGAAAUGACGGUACCUAACUAAGAAGCCCCGGCUAACUACGUGCCAGCAGCCGCGGUAAUACGUAGGUGGCAAGCGUUGUCCGGAAUGACUGGGCGUAAAGGGCGUGUAGGUGGAUUGAUCAGUCGGAUGUGAAAUACCUGGGCUUAACCUGGGAACUGCAUUCGAUACGGUCAGUCUUGAGUGCAGGAGAGGGCAGUGGAAUUCCCAGUGUAGCGGUGAAAUGCGUAGAGAUUGGGAGGAACACCAGUGGCGAAGGCGGCUGCCUGGACUGUAACCGACACUGAGGCGCGAAAGCGUGGGGAGCAAACAG
rnacentral:rRNA from 1 species